GCAUGACACAGAGGUCAAAGGAGCAAUCCGGUGCAAGACGGGCUCGCGUCCGAUUAGGUAGUUGGAGGGGUAACGGCCCACCAAGCCUAUGAUCGGUAGCCGACCUGAGAGGGUGAUCGGCCACAUUGGAACUGAGAUACGGUCCAAACUCCUACGGGAGGCAGCAGUGGGGAAUAUUGGGCAAUGGGGGAAACCCUGACCCAGCAACGCCGCGUGAAGGAAGAAGGUUUUCGGAUUGUAAACUUCUGUCCUUGGUGAAGAGAAGAAGACGGUAGCCAAGGAGGAAGCCCCGGCUAACUACGUGCCAGCAGCCGCGGCAAUACGUAGGGGGCAAGCGUUGUCCGGAAUGAUUGGGCGUAAAGGGCGCGUAGGCGGCUUUAUAAGUCUGGAGUGAAAGUCCUCUUUUCAAGGGAGGAAUUGCUUUGGAAACUAUAGAGCUUGAGUGCAGGAGAGGUUAUCGGAAUUCCCGGUGUAGCGGUGAAAUGCGUAGAUAUCGGGAGGAACAUCGGUGGCGAAGGCGGGUAACUGGACUGCAACUGACGCUGAGGCGCGAAAGUGUGGGGAGCAAACAGGAUUAGAUACCCUGGUAGUCCACACGGUAAACGAUGAAUGCUAGGUGUAGGAGGUAUCGACCCCUUCUGUGCCGCAG
rnacentral:rRNA from 1 species